rnacentral:rRNA from 1 species
AUUGAACGCUGGCGGCAGGCCUAACACAUGCAAGUCGAACGAGUGGCGGACGGGUGAGUAAUGUCUGGGAAACUGCCCGAUGGAGGGGGAUAACUACUGGAAAGGGUAGCUAAUACCGAAUACAAUCGGAUGUGCCCAAAUGGGAUUAGCUAGAAGGUGGGGUAACGGCUCACCUAGGCGACGAUCCCUAGCUGGUCUGAGAGGAUGACCAGCCACACUGGAACUGAGACACGGUCCAGACUCCUACGGGAGGCAGCAGUGGGGAAUAUUGCACAAUGGGCGCAAGCCUGAUGCAGCCAUGCCGCGUGUAUGAAGAAGGCCUUCGGGUUGUAAAGUACUUUCAGCGAGGAGGCGUUACUCGCAGAAGAAGCACCGGCUAACUCCGUGCCAGCAGCCGCGGUAAUAC